rnacentral:rRNA from 1 species
CCUACGGGAGGCAGCAGUGGGGAAUAUUGGACAAUGGGCGAAAGCCUGAUCCAGCCAUGCCGCGUGUGUGAAGAAGGUCUUCGGAUUGUAAAGCACUUUAAGUUGGGAGGCGUUACCGACAGAAUAAGCACCGGCUAACUCUGUGCCAGCAGCCGCGGUAAUACAGAGGGUGCAAGCGUUAAUCGGAAUUACUGGGCGUAAAGCGCGCGUAGGUGGUUUGUUAAGUUGGAUGUGAAAUCCCCGGGCUCAACCUGGGAACUGCAUUCAAAACUGACUGACUAGAGUAUGGUAGAGGGUGGUGGAAUUUCCUGUGUAGCGGUGAAAUGCGUAGAUAUAGGAAGGAACACCAGUGGCGAAGGCGACCACCUGGACUAAACUGACACUGAGGUGCGAAAGCGUGGGGAGCAAACAGGAUUAGAUACCCUUGUAGUC